AGAGUUUGAUCAUGGCUCAGAAUCAACGCUGGCGGCGCGCUUAACACAUGCAAGUCGCACGAGAAAGUGGAGCAAUCCAUGAGUACAGUGGCGUACGGGUGAGUAACACGUGGGUGAUCUACCUCUUAGUGGGGAAUAACCCUGGGAAACCGGGGCUAAUACCGCAUAAGCCUGAGAAGGGAAAGCAGCAAUGCGCUGAGAGAGGAGCCCGCGGCCGAUUAGCUAGUUGGCAGGGUAAGAGCCUACCAAGGCAGAGAUCGGUAGCCGGCCUGAGAGGGCACACGGCCACACUGGCACUGAAACACGGGCCAGACUCCUACGGGAGGCAGCAGUGGGGAAUCUUGCACAAUGGGGGCAACCCUGAUGCAGCGACGCCGCGUGAGCGAUGAAGCCCUUCGGGGUGUAAAGCUCUUUCGGCAGGGAAGAUGAUGACGGUACCUGCAGAAGCAGCUGCGGCUAACUACGUGCCAGCAGCCGCGGUA
rnacentral:rRNA from 1 species